rnacentral:rRNA from 1 species
ACGUGGACCCGUAAUCCGGGUUGCGGACAGUGUCUGGUGGGUAGUUUGACUGGGGCGGUCUCCUCCUAAAGAGUAACGGAGGAGCACGAAGGUUGGCUAAUCCUGGUCGGACAUCAGGAGGUUAGUGCAAUGGCAUAAGCCAGCUUGACUGCGAGCGUGACGGCGCGAGCAGGUGCGAAAGCAGGUCAUAGUGAUCCGGUGGUUCUGAAUGGAAGGGCCAUCGCUCAACGGAUAAAAGGUACUCCGGGGAUAACAGGCUGAUACCGCCCAAGAGUUCAUAUCGACGGCGGUGUUUGGCACCUCGAUGUCGGCUCAUCACAUCCUGGGGCUGAAGUAGGUCCCAAGGGUAUGGCUGUUCGCCAUUUAAAGUGGUACGCGAGCUGGGUUUAGAACGUCGUGAGACAGUUCGGUCCCUA